rnacentral:rRNA from 1 species
UACGAAGGGGGCUAGCGUUGCUCGGAAUUACUGGGCGUAAAGCGCACGUAGGCGGCUUGUUAAGUCAGGGGUGAAAUCCUGGAGCUCAACUCCAGAACUGCCUUUGAUACUGGCGAGCUUGAGUUCGGGAGAGGUGAGUGGAACUGCGAGUGUAGAGGUGAAAUUCGUAGAUAUUCGCAAGAACACCAGUGGCGAAGGCGGCUAACUGGUCCGGUUCUGACGCUGAGGCGCGAAAGCGUGGGGAGCAAACAGG